rnacentral:rRNA from 1 species
UACGUAGGGUGCAAGCGUUGUCCGGAAUUAUUGGGCGUAAAGAGCUCGUAGGCGGUCUGUCGCGUCUGCUGUGAAAUCUCAGGGCUUAACCCUGAGCUUGCAGUGGGUACGGGCAGACUAGAGUGCGGUAGGGGAGACUGGAAUUCCUGGUGUAGCGGUGAAAUGCGCAGAUAUCAGGAGGAACACCGGUGGCGAAGGCGGUUCUCUGGGCAUUACCUGACGCUGAGGAGCGAAAGUGUGGGGAGCGAACAGG